UCCUGAGGGGGGGGGGGGAAAGAAAGACUGUGCCGCUGGUCAAUGUGUAGGCUACCCGGUCACGUGGCUUACUUACAAUUGACCAACCAGAGACAGGUCUACAUGAUAGGCUACAGCCUAUUGCAUCAUUAAGAAAAAUAGCGCCAGAACCAAACACCAUGACCAUCCCAUUCCAGUCAUAGUACUCAUAGAUCUACUUCAAGAUUGUGUUGAUUUGUGAUUAACUCGACUCUAUUCUAACAACUUUGGAAUGUGUGCGUCAAGCAAAGACUCUGGGAACCAAAGAGUGAAAGAAUGAUGGCAUCACUAUGACUAUGAUCACUUCUUGCUGGAUCUGUCCAAGAGUCAAUGAGUACAGGUGGACCAUGUUGGAAAAUAACUUUCAGUCAAGACUCAAGUUGAGACAAGAGCUCCAUUGAUGUUAUUGAUCAAACUGAACAUGUUCUAGAGAUACUGGAGAAAAGAUUUGAGUGCAGUACAGACUCAUUAAUUAAAAGAAGCAGAGAUAAAUACAAUCAGGAUUGGGUAUGAAGCAAAUUUCCCAAUGGCAAAUAAUGUAUCACUGUUGGAAAUAGAAGUGAAACUGAAGUAUGAAGAUUCUCAUGAAAAUUUGAUCUAUCCAGUGAAAACAGCAUUAAGAGAACAAUAGUAUGGAUUAUAACUUGGCUGGACUGGACAUGGCACAAACAGAAAAUAAAUGUAUUGAAUUUUCAAUCCUAAUUAUGGAUAUUAGAUUAUUCAAGUGAGUUACCCAAGUCUGCUGUCAAAUCAAAUAACUUAGAGAAAGUACUUGAACUUGGCACAUGUGAUGGCACAGAAAUCGUAAAAAAAGAAGGAUGAUGGCUUCAACUCUGAAGGAACAUCCCAAACAUGUAAAACAUUUUACAAACAAACCUAAUCAAAGUUUAUAAAUGUUUAAAAAAAGUAAGAUGCACAAGCAAAUUUAUUUACAUACUACAGAUAUUAGAACUAAUGACUAAUGGAAAAAAAAAACUACCUAUCUAGAC